rnacentral:rRNA from 1 species
ACGCUGGCGGCGUGCCUAAUACAUGCAAGUCGAACGAGAGCGACCGGUGCUUGCACUGGUCAAUCUAGUGGCGAACGGGUGAGUAACACGUGGGUAACCUGCCCAUCAGAGGGGGAUAACAUUCGGAAACGGAUGCUAAAACCGCAUAGGUCUUCGAACCGCAUGGUUUGAAGAGGAAAAGAGGCGCAAGCUUCUGCUGAUGGAUGGACCCGCGGUGCAUUAGCUAGUUGGUGAGGUACGGCUCACCAAGGCCGUGAUGCAUAGCCGACCUGAGAGGGUGAUCGGCCACAUUGGGACUGAGACACGGCCCAAACUCCUACGGGAGGCAGCAGUAGGGAAUCUUCCGCAAUGGACGCAAGUCUGACGGAGCAACGCCGCGUGAGUGAAGAAGGUUUUCGGAUCGUAAAACUCUGUUGUUAGAGAAGAACAAGUGCUAGAGUAACUGUUAGCGCCUUGACGGUAUCUAACCAGAAAGCCACGGCUAACUACGUGCCAGCAGCCGCGGUAAUACGUAGGUGGCAAGCGUUGUCCGGAUUUAUUGGGCGUAAAGCGAGCGCAGGCGGUUCCUUAAGUCUGAUGUGAAAGCCCCCGGCUCAACCGGGGAGGGUCAUUGGAAACUGGGGAACUUGAGUGCAAAAGAGGAGAGUGGAAUUCCAUGUGUAGCGGUGAAAUGCGUAGAUAUAUGGAGGAACACCAGUGGCGAAGGCGACUCUCUGGUCUGUAACUGACGCUGAGGCUCGAAAGCGUGGGUAGCAAACAGGAUUAGAUACCCUGGUAGUCCACGCCGUAAACGAUGAGUGCUAAGUGUUGGAGGGUUUCCGCCCUUCAGUGCUGCAGUUAACGCAUUAAGCACUCCGCCUGGGGAGUACGACCGCAAGGUUGAAACUCAAAGGAAUUGACGGGGACCCGCACAAGCGGU